rnacentral:hammerhead_ribozyme from 1 species
ACGAGUCCAAAAUAGGACGAAACGCGCGUC